AAAAAUUUAGUUAAUAAAAAUAACAUUAGUUUGUCAAACUAAAAUAAUUUCCUAAGAAAUAAUUUUUA
rnacentral:tRNA from 1 species